UAAGCAUGCUUCAAUGUAUAGAUUAAAGCCUGAGAGGAUGCUGUGAUGAAUUGUUUAAUUAUUACUGACAUAUUAAUGAUAAAAUAUGAAAUAUAUAAAUUAGGGAAUUUAUAAUAAAGAAGAGAAACUGGCAGGCAAGAAUUGAAACAAAAUGCAAAACUUUCAAUAGCAGAAUCCUAAGUUGCUCAUGCUUUUCUAGUGACCUAUUUAGCUAUGAUGUGCAGGACAGUGUGUCUGGAUUUUAGUUAUGGAUGAACACAGAUAUUGAAUCAGAUCCCACAGUGACCAGUUGAGUGGAAAUAGGCCAUAGACCAGGUAGUCCAUUCUCUGGCUGAUAAAAUUCUAGUCCCCUUGGAAAUAUGACCACCAUUAAAAGUAAUAAAAAGAUUACAUUAAGCAAAAAGUAAACUCACCAUGUGAAACUAAAUAAAUGUCAUUCACCAAAUUAAUAAAAUAAAAGAACAAAAAUUAAUAUGAUCAUGUACCUAUAGGAGGAAAAGUAUUUGACUAAAUUCAUCUUUAUAAGAAUUCUCAGCAAAGUAGGAAUAGAAAAUAACUUAAUCUGGUAAAAGGCAUCUGUAAAAACUUACAAUUAACAUUGUAGACCAUGGUAUGUUAAAUACUCCUUAAGAUCAAGGAUAAGGCAAAAAUUAUUUCUCACUACUCUAUUAUUCUACUUCUCAUUAUUUCUAUUCAGCAUUGUAAUGGAGGCGCUAUCCAGUGAUAGACCAGUGGGGAAUAGUUCAUUUGGCAUGCACCAUCAGAAGUAGGACUUGACUAAUUUUGACCAAUAACCAGAAAUAACAGAAACAACAAGACAUGAAGUCAAGGAAAAGAGAAAUAGGAACGCAGUAACGGUAUAUUCUAUUUCUUUUUUUCUAGGGAAAAAAUUAAAGGUAUUCUUGUGCUUAGAUGUCAGUGGUCAAUGAAAUCCACUCUUGAACAACAUACCUUAAUUGGUUCAGGCUGGUGAUUCCAUUUGGUCAUCUGGGUGGAACAAGCUACACAAUAAAGUAUAAUUUUAAGAUACUCUCACUCAAAUGAAAUAUCUUUCUCACUCCUUUUGUUGUGUGCUAGAGGAGGACAUACCUUUCAGUCCUGCUGUUGAGAAAAGCACAGCACAGUAUUCCACUCCAUCAGCAGGUACAUAAAUACAAUGGAAUAUUACUCAGCCAUAAAGAAGAAUGAAAUACUGCCAUUUGCAGCGAUGUGGAUGGACCUAGAGACUGUCAUGCUGAGUGAAGUAAGUCAGACAGAGAAAGACAAAUAUCAUAUGAUAUCACUUCUAUGUGGAAUCUAAAAAAUGAUACAAAUGAACUUAUUUACAAAACAGAAACAGACUCACAGACUUAGAAAACUUAUGGUUACCAGGGGGUAAGGGGGAGGGAUAAAUUGGGAGAUUGGGACUGACAUAUACAUACUACUAUAUAUAAAAUAGAUAACUAAUAAAGACCUGCUGUACAGCACAGGGGACUCUACUUGAUACUCUGUAAUGGCUUAUAUGGGAAAAGAAUCUAAAAAAGAGUGGAUAUAUGUAUAUGUAUAACUGAUUCACUUUGCUAUACACUUGAAACUAACACAACAUUGUAAAUCAACUGUAUCCCAAUAAAAAUUUAAGAAACUAAAGUGUGUGUUAUGGAUUCUGAGAGCGAAUCUGAUAUUUGGCAGUUUUAUUAAGUAUCACCCAUGGGAACCCCAUCUGUAGACGCAGGAGUGGAAGAGGAAGAAUGUGAGCCAUGGGUUUCUCUGGAACUGGAAGGAACUGUCAGGGUCAUCCCAGGUUGGGUCAAAAUGCUCAGGCUUUUAUACCACUGUCUCCAUCAGUGUUUGGAUACCAUGUGCUCCAGGAAGGACUGAAUGUUGGGUCAGAUAACUCUUGCAGCUGAGGCAGUCCUUGAAGGAGCUGGCAGCUGAAGUCUUUCCUAUUAUAUUGCUCCCAGCAGCUGGGGCAAAUCCAUCCUUGAAGUGACUUGAUAGUCACUGAGGCCUUGCAUUCUGGAACAAAAUGGGCAAGAGGGAAGCUUCCCAACAUAAGAAACUAUACUUUUUGUGAAUCUGUCCAAUAAAAGAUGCUACAACCCACACCAAAUGGAGGAAGUUAACUACUUGAUGACCAGGAGCACAUAGCCCGCACACCUACUAGAGCCUAAGGACUGAUAAGGUUAACCCUUGUGACACCCCUCUGUUACCUCACCUUCAACCAAUCAGAGAAUUGUGCACAAGCUGAUCAUAUACCCUCCAACUCCCCUCCCUCACCUGACCUUUAAAAAUGCUCUUCUGAAACCCAUUGAGAGUUUAGGUUUUUUGAGUAUUAGCUGCCCUGGACUUCUUGUAUGGCACCUUACAAUAAACACUGCACUUUCCUUCACCACAA